UCUCUGGUGGCUCAGAUGGUAAAGCAUCUGCCUACAAUGUGGGAGACCCAGGUUCAAAACCUGGGUCAGGAAA
rnacentral:tRNA from 1 species